GAUGAACGCUGGCGGCGUGCCUAAUACAUGCAAGUCGAGCGAACGGACGAGAAGCUUGCUUCUCUGAUGUUAGCGGCGGACGGGUGAGUAACACGUGGAUAACCUACCUAUAAGACUGGGAUAACUUCGGGAAACCGGAGCUAAUACCGGAUAAUAUUUUGAACCGCAUGGUUCAAAAGUGAAAGACGGUCUUGCUGUCACUUAUAGAUGGAUCCGCGCUGCAUUAGCUAGUUGGUAAGGUAACGGCUUACCAAGGCAACGAUGCAUAGCCGACCUGAGAGGGUGAUCGGCCACACUGGAACUGAGACACGGUCCAGACUCCUACGGGAGGCAGCAGUAGGGAAUCUUCCGCAAUGGGCGAAAGCCUGACGGAGCAACGCCGCGUGAGUGAUGAAGGUCUUCGGAUCGUAAAGCUCUUUUAGUUGGGAAGAACAUAUGUGUAAGUAACUGUGCACAUCUUGACGGUACCUAAUCAGAAAGCCACGGCUAACUACGUG
rnacentral:rRNA from 1 species